GACGAACGCUGGCGGCGUGCUUAACACAUGCAAGUCGAACGAUGAAGGGGAGCUUGCUCCUUGGAUUAGUGGCGAACGGGUGAGUAACACGUGAGUAACCUGCCCUGGACUCUGGGAUAA
rnacentral:rRNA from 1 species